CUAUAGCUCAGAUAGUAGAGCACCGGAUUCCAGACCUGGUGGGCGGGAGUUCAAGUCUUCCUAAG
rnacentral:tRNA from 1 species